UACGUAGGGGGCAAGCGUUGUCCGGAAUCAUUGGGCGUAAAGCGCGUGUAGGCGGCUAGGUAAGUCUGCUCUGAAAGCCCGGGGCUCAACCCCGGGAGGCGGGUGGAUACUGUCUAGCUCGAGUCCGGAAGAGGAGUGUGGAAUUCCUGGUGUAGCGGUGAAAUGCGCAGAUAUCAGGAGGAACACCAAUGGCGAAGGCAGCACUCUGGGACGUGACUGACGCUGAGACGCGAAAGCGUGGGGAGCAAACAGGG
rnacentral:rRNA from 1 species